UCUCAUGGUGGCACAGUUGGUAGAACUGUUGCCUUGUAACAAGAAGGUCCUGGGUUCAAAUCCCAGCCUGGGGU